rnacentral:rRNA from 1 species
UCAGGAUGAACGCUGGCGGCGUGCCUAAUACAUGCAAGUCGAGCGAGGUAGCUUGCUACCUAGCGGCGAACGGGUGAGUAACACGUAGGUAACCUGCCUUUGAGACUGGGAUACCCGAGCGAAAGUUCGGCUAAUACCGGAUAACAACGGGAGUCACAUGGCUCCCGCUUGAAACGGUGCGUUUGCACCACUCUUAGAUGGACCUGCGGCACAUUAGCUAGUUGGUGAGAUAACAGCCCACCAAGGCGAGGAUGUGUAGCCGACCUGAGAGGGUGACCGGCCACAAUGGGACUGAGACACGGCCCAUACUCCUACGGGAGGCAGCAGUAGGGAGUUUUCGGCAAUGGGCGAAAGCCUGACCGAGCAACGCCGCGUGAGUGAUGAAGGUUCCUUCGGAUUGUAAAGCUCUGUUACGAGGGACGAAUACAGUUUGUCAGGAAAUGGGCAGAUGGGAGACGGUACCUCGCCAGAAAGUGACGGCUAACUACGUGCCAGCCGCAGC